CAAAGUUUUCACCAUGAGGUCAGAUAAUUAUCACAAAAGGAAAACAUUUAUGCAAGAGAAGAAGGUAUCAGUGGAGUGCAUAGCUCUGGAAAACCCUAACUGCUGCAACACAUUUCUGAUAUGAUGUUUCAUGUAGUGGGUUUACUGUGUAAGCUGGAAUUAACCAUGUCAGAGGUCACAAAACCAUGGUAAGUCAGAUUUUCACAUUCACUCAAGGUUGCCAAGGACCAUACACCACAAUCUCAAGCUUUUCACACUGACAGCCAGCUAAUCCAUAAAUAUAACAACCUAACAGUUACAAAACAGACAUGGGAAACAGACCUCAUCCUUGAAAUACAUGGGUGUAUACCCUGUGCCCUCACUUUGAUUGUCUCUCUCGCAAUAAUGUGCUGAAAAAAGACAUGAUGGUAUUAGUCAAAAUUCUCUAUCAUACAACUAUCAUCUUUGCCUAUCUUAAUUACAUCUCUGACUUACAAUACCACAAGGGUAAAUUCAGCAAUUUCACCAAUGAACUGUACUCAAAGAAAGGGCAAUCCUGGGAGAAGGCUAUCAGCACAUGUAGCCCCAAUUCUCUGACCUUUGUUUCAAUAUCUUCAGAGCUAAGGUCAUACCAUUUAUUCUAUUAUGUCACCUUCUUUUGUAAUACUAUUCACUGACUAACAAGCCAUUUACACUGUAGAUGUCUGUAGUUGAAAUUCUACACUGUAACAUUCCACAUCCACAAACAGGCUGGAAGCUGGAUUUCGAUUCCUCAGAGAAUAGAAACCUCAUUUCGGGGAGCUGUUGGCCAUCAAAGUACGGAAACUCUCUUGUACACUGGGAAAGAGCUAUGAGCCACUGGAUCAGUACUUGGGUCAGCUUUUAGGGGUCUCACCUGGUGCCAGUCUGGCACUGAUUGCAUGUGGGUGCAACAAUUCGACAGAACAAUGGGGGAAGGCAACUUAAUGCAGAUAAAACCUUGCAGUGGCCUUCUGAUGUCCUGAGGAUGCCUGCAAUGAAAGGCCCUUGGAAUCCUAAAUGUCAAAAACUUAAGGAAAGCUGUCAGGCUGACUUUUGUGUGCACCUCUCCAAUGACAGUUAAAUUGUGGCAACAGCACAAUGAGGCCUUAGCACUUAGAAGUGAAAUAGGGGUGAGUCAACACGGCAAGGGUUCAUGCAUGACAAGUCUGUUAGAAUUCUUUGAAGAGGUUACAAGCAAGUUAAACAAAGGAAAGCCAGUGGAUAUGAUCUAUUUCGAUUUUCAGAAGGCCUCUGAUGGAGUGCCACACAGAAAAUGCUAAAUAAAGAUAAGAGCCCAUGGUGCUACGCGCAAGGCACUGGUACGGGGAGAGGACUGGUAUUAGAAUGGGGAUAAAGGAAUGUUUUCCAGGAUGGGAAUCAGUAACUAGUGGAGUUCUGUAGGGGUCAGUGUUGGGACCACAACUAUUCACAGUAUGUAUUAACAAUCUACAUGAAGAAGGACGGAAGGACAUUAUUCCUAUGUCUGCAGAUGACUCAAGGUUAGGUGGAGGGAUAGGUAGUGUUGUCAAGGCAGGGAGGCUGCAAAAGACUUGGAUGAGCUAAAGGAGUUAGGGUUACAAAAGAAGAGGCAGAUGGAAUACAAUGUGGGAAAGUGUGAGCUUAUGUACUCCGGUGGGAAGAAUAGAGGUAAAGGCUAUUUUCUAAAUGGGGAAAGGAUUCCGAAAUCUGAAGUACCAACGAACUUAGGAAUCCUAGCUCAGGAUUCUUUUCUGGUUAACAAGCAGAUUAAGUUGGCAGUUAGGAAAACAAAUGCAAUGUUAGCACUCAUUUCAAGAAGGCUACAGAGCUUGUCAUACGAGGAGCAGUUGAGGACCCUAAUUCUGUCCUCAAUGGAGUUUAGAAAACGAAGGGGGAAUCACACUGAAACUUAGAGUGGAUACAGUGAACGUGAAGAAGGUGCUUCCACUUCUGGGCAAACUAGGACCAAGGGCACAAUCUGAAAAUGAAGGGACAACCCUUUAGAACUGAGAUGAGGAGAUUGUGAAUCUGUGGAACUCAUUGCCGCCAAAGACUAUGGAGGCCAAAUCAGUGAGUUUAUUUAAGACAGACAGAUAGAUUCUUGAUUGGUCAGGAGAUUAAAGAUUACGGAGUAAAAGCAGGGAGAAUGGAGCCAAAAAUUGUAUCAGCCAUGAUCAAAUGUUGAAGCAGACUUGAUGGGCUGAACAGUGUAAUUCUGCUCCUACAUCUUAUGGUCUUUGAACAGAAACUAUUUGCCUACUUGAGAUCUUCAAGUGCCUCGCUAGUGGGUGGGCCACGCACAGCACAAUUGUAAGGUACCAGACAGGUCGCUCACAGAAUUUAAAGAGUACAAACACCCUUUACCACUGCACCCACAGCCAGUGAGGGAGUGCAAAUUUCAGCUCAAAAGGGACAGUUUUGGUAAUGAAGAUACUACAGAAUAGGUACAGAAGAUUAUUAACAAUACCAUACACCUUAUACAUCCCAGUUAAUCUCACAAUUGCUCUUUUGUAUAUGUCAUUACUAAAGAUGGGAAGUCCAAAACUAAAGGGCAUAGGUUUAAGGUGAGAGGGGAAAGAUUUAAAAGGGAUCUAAUGGGCAACUGUUUCACUCAGAAGGUGGUGCAUAUAUGGAAUGAGCUGCCAGAGGAAGUGGGGGAGGCUGGUUCAAUUACAACAUUUAAAAGGCAGCUGGAUUGGAAUCGAAAUAGGAAAGUUUUAGAGGGGAUGGGCCAAAUGCUUCUAAAAUUGGGCUCUCUGGUGAAGGGUCUAGGCCCGAAACGUUAACUUUUGUGCUCCUAAGAUGCUGCUUGGCCUGCUAUGUUCAUCCAGCUCCACACUUUGUUAUCCUACAGAUUUAUUUGAGAUAUCUAGUUGGCAUGGACGAGUUGGACUGAAGGGUCUGUUUCCAUGCUGUACAUCUCUACGACACUAUUUACACAAAUUUCCAAAUAUCAGAUACAAAAUCAUUAAUGUUAACCUUAUCUUUACCUAUCUAAAUACGUCAGUAUGUGCAAAAUACAAGGAAUAGACAAUCCACUGACUCUCACCAAUAAACAAGCCUUUAACCCUUACAAUAUUCAGAUAAUAGUCCUUUGAGAUACCAAUGUACACCAUGUAACUACAUAACCAAAGUUUACUCUUUUCUGAUGUUACAAAGAAGUCAAUAGCAAAAGAGAUAGCUGCGGAGAGGAAAUGACAAUGUAAUCAUGAAAUUGAGUUAGAAAAGCAUCAUCCGAUCUUACUCAUAACAAAAAUAUUUUCACAGUGUAAAUGGAAGCUAAGUUUUCAUUAUUCUACUGUUUUCAUGCAUCAGUAGACAUUUGUCAGUUUGGAAGAAUCCUAAGGCUAUAUCAUGAGAAUUCCUCCCUGCAUACGUGUACUCUUAGAAGGUGAUGCUCUGGCUGGGACUGCAAAGUCAGAAGAUGAUUCUUUAGAAAUCAAAAGCUUGCUCAGUGUAUGAAAGCUCAAAAAAGGUGUGAGACUCCCAGCAGCAGGUUAAGGAAUGUAGUAUAAAUACAGCCUAUACAAACAUUUAACAGAACAAUGUUUUUUUAUUAACACCUUGAGUAUAUUUUUGAACACUUUCAAAGUUGCAAUUUACAUAUUGAUGUUAGUUCAAGCUUAGCUGCCUGAAACAGCAAAUUCCAUUACAACAGCAUUAUAACACAGCAGUGAACUGUCACAGUGUGAUAGAUGACAAAAUCUGAAAAAUUGAUUCAAAUCUGGUCUAAGUUACAGAGGCAGGCAAAUGUACAAUAUUAGACUAUGGAAGGAAGAGAGUAAGUAAGGCAAUGGAAAGCAAUACAUAGGUACCUAAUCCACUAAAACCCAAAAAUAAAUUUCAUUUCCAGUGGAUCUGCAUCACCUUGAUAUGCCCCACGACAGGCUUCAAAACAAAGGAGCAGAAUUAAGCCAUUCAGUCCACUGAGUCUACUCCACCAUUUGAUCAUGGCUAAUACACUUCUCAACCCCAUUCUCCUAUCUUUUCCCAUACCCCUUGAACUCCCUACCAGCCAUGAAUCCAUUUAAUGCAAGACAAGGCCAGGUACAAUGUCGACCAACUAUUAUUUCAGUCAUCAAAUGGUAAGGAAAUCUAAAAGGCACAGUGUAUAUUUUUAGAAAUGGGAUUUAAUGUAUCUUUUUAGAUUUAAUCUCCCAGUAAGUUACACAUGGGUUAAAGUAUAGGAGCAGGGGUGCGGUGCUGGAUAGCAAAUAUUGCUAAGGGACAGACUGGAGAGUAAGGAGAAGGAUCAAGAGAAGAAGCAAGUUCAAGUAACAAGCAUUGACCUACAUUUUCUGGCUCUUUGCAGAGCCACUGUUGAAGACUGAAACAAAGAUUCGCCAGAGGUGGUAACAAGCAGAUUUUAUUUCAUGGAAAAAUUGGCCACUUUGUGGAAUCUGAUUGUGGACAUUUUCUUUCUUUUGUAGCUCAAUGAGAAGGCGACAAGCUCUGAGAAAUACUACAAGCACAUUUCCAUUAAAAACCAUGGACUCCUAAUACAAUCCUUACUGCUUGUAAUAUUGCUGCUAAUUGGACACCAGCUCAUGUUUUGUGGGACCUGAGGCCUCUAGACCAUUCAAGGGAGGUACUGGGUGGUGGAUAAGGCUUCACCAGCCUCAAGAGGUUAUAGGCCGUAUGCCAUUGCACAUUAAGCUCAGCAAGAUUCUGAUAUUCAUAUAAGGGUGACAUAUCUGUAAAAUAAUUAAAGUAGCUCAUCAGGUAAACUUCAGAAGAUGCAGUGGCUGCAAGGAUUAGUUGUACAUGCAUUGAGAUUUUAGUUAUAUUUAUCAAUCUUCAAUGCAUGCUUGCAUCAAGCACGAAUGACCGGCAUGUCUUGCUUUGGCAAGUAAAGCUACCAGUUUCCUUUUGGAAAAUAGGUAGCAGCAAGAAAACAGUCCUCUAUUGCGAAUGUACAACAGUUUAGUUGUGUAGAGUAUUUUUGAUAUACUUAAUUGGCUAUAUGUGUCGCUGCCCCAUUCCACUGUUCCAAAUCAGCCACACAAAAGUCUGCCAAUCCAUGAAUGUGCAAUUGAUCUGUAGUCAUCAGAACAGGAAUACGCAUGUGAAUGCCUCUUACUUGGUUGUAUCCAAAAUUGUUUCAUCCAAAAUGCUUUUUGAGUGCGAGCAGCAGCGGAGGCAAGACGGACCCGAAGACUGCAGCUAAGGUAAAGCAGUUUAUUUUUAAAAUUACUUACCGGUAGCGGGCAGCGGUGUUUUUUUUUCCUCUUUCAGAGAAGGAGCGGGAGCAUCAGAGGAAGUGACGAGGACCAGAGGGGCAGCCGGGAAGGAAAGCAGUGACCAUAUAUAUCAGCAAGGCGGCUUAACCCGAGACUCUACAACUGUAGUGUCUCCCACCCGCCCUCCUCCUCUAACCUAGUUAAUAAGAGACAUGGGCUUUGUGGAGAAAGAGAGGGAAGAAGAUAGCAGGAGAUAGAGGAAGAAGAUAAGCAUGACAACAAGCUGGAAGACCACAGUGCAAUGAAGACCUUAGUCCACCAGAGUUAUGUUUCCAAUGCACAAUAUUCAUUCCCAAAUGUAACAAAAUAAAGCAUAACAUUAACAGGAUCUAGCUGCAUAUCAAAACAUUGGACUAUUCAACAUUUAGGUCCAAUCUCCCAACACCUACACAACAGCUUUCAUGUCUUAUUCAAUAAUCCGACAGCCCAACUUUUCACAGCUUGACAAUAUUGAGUUUAAUGUAUUUUGCUGAUUCUUUUUCUUUUGUGAAAGCCUACUGCAUGUACUGAAGUUUGUGCACUACUCCUGCCCCGUAAGUUUAUUUGAAGCUAAGGGGUCUCAUAAAAACAGUGGCUCCAUGCCACAUUCCCUAGCAUUCACCAAACCAUUGCCUGAAUUAUAGCAGGCAAGGAUGGUGUCAGGAAGAUUGCUUAUUGCCUUACUGAGAUAGUUAAGUGACCAAACUAAUAGUGACACAAGGGUUUCAUUUUGUUUCUACUGCUAUUUUAAAUGUGACAAGGGGAGCUGGAGGCAAAGCAUGUAGUUCAGCAACUUUUGCCUUGCAGGCUCCAGCUGGGCAUGAGUGAAUAUCUCUUUUGGGAAUCCCCUGGGACCAGAGGCAUUGCCACUUAUCCACUCCCAAGUUUGUAGCCUUAAGCAGUUGAGGAUCAUAGUUCUGAUGAUCACCCCAUAUUGCUCCUGUCUGUGGUUAAUGACUCUCACUCUCCGUGAUCUCUUGCUUGUGUGUACAAAAAGGAAUAUGCUAAAAAACAAACAUGAGAGAUAAUCUACAUUUCACCAAUUGCAACAGCCUCUGCCACCCAUUAAUUUUUCAAACAGUCCAUCUGCUGCCUCAAUGAUAGAAGAGUAGUAAUUGAAGUCAUUAUAGCGACAUAGAUAAGGCACUCAUGACAGGAAAACACAUCAGAGGACAUCUUUCAUCACUAACGUCUCAUUUAUGCAAUGCAAUUAAAAUAUUUGGAAAUCCACAAAUCCAGCAGCGGUGGCUGAAGAGCUGGCAGAGAAUCCUGGUCACUCAAUCAUGAGGUUAAACAGUGACUCAAAUCAAUCUCUCAUUUCAGUUUUUAAAUGACAAAAGCAUCAAAUGAAAUGUCUAAAAAAAGGUUCAGGAGAAUAUCUGUGAUCCUAGUAGCCAAAUGUUUUCCGUAAAGAUCACAGUAAAUUUAAUUAUUCCUUUUUUUGUUCUUUCUUUUUACUCUACUGGUGUUUUUUGUACCCCCUCUGCAUUCUUGUAUUGUCUAUGGGUGAGACUACAAAUAGGUCCCAAAUUUUGGUCAGUCUUAGAUUGUAGAUUCUGUUCACUAUUAAUUCAAUUGAUAUUCUUGUCUUACUUCAUGUAGGACCUCUACAGGUAGUGGAGCAAACAGGCACCAGAGAGUGGCCUGCUAAGAACCAAAGAUGCUUGCACAUAUGCUCAAACAGCAUGCAUUUAUCUUACUAAAAUUACAAUAUUGGCUAAUCAGAUUUCUUGUGAUCAUACAAAGACCACAAAGACCACAUAUUUUCCCCUAUAAACCAUGAUAAGGGUUUGAUCUCUGUGACAUGUUAGAGUGCAAAUUAGUUUUUUUUUCUAACAUAAAACAUAGCUGUCCCAUGCUGUAAUUCCACAAUGAAUUACAUAUGAUCACCUUGCGAAUUUCCCAAAUACUGUAACUUGACACAUGUUCUUAAAUAAAUGUGCCUACUCAGAUCAGCAAGUAAAUUAUAUGUCCCAAUGGAACAAUUAGCAGGAUUUGAAUCUCCAGCAGUCUGUUGAUCAACAGCUUUACUUCCUUUUCUGGAUGUAUCUUUUGGUAAAGGAAAUGCUACUGCUGAGUCUGAAUAAGGGAAAACUGAAACCACUCUCAAAUGGGAAGCAAAAAUUAAACAUUAAAAAACUCUAUUCCCUCAUGUGAAGCUACUGCCAAAGUCCACUGUCAUGCUGAGGCAUGGGGAUAAUCCACAAAAUCUAGUAUUCACUGGAACAAAUAUACCUUGAACUGAAUCCAUUUCGGAUAGGGCAAUAGCAAAAUUAAAAGAAAAAUUGAACUCAAUGGCUCAAUUAAAAAGAUUAAGAUUGUUCACAAGUAUGCUAGCUCAUAACUGGUACUUCUUAAAUUUCCCUAAUCAUUUAAUUUUUUUAAGGCAAAGGGGUCUAAAAUAAGCAUCACUACACCCAUUUUACAACCUAAACUGGAGCAAUAAGAGAAGAAAAGGUAGAACAUAGAGGCCUGCACUUGAUUUGCAUGGCAGACAAGGCCUGUGCUAUAUUAUUUUGUCCUUUUUCUCUGGUAGUACUGCAGACCACAUAAAAUUAGCACAGGCCUCAUCUCUACUUUUCACUAAGGGCAUGCCUUAUGUCACAACACCAACUGCUGUGUGUUGCCCCCGAUCCACUUUCCUACUGUUUUAUGAUAAACAAAUUAGCAUUGACAGCCCUAAACAGGCAUUGCAACAAAGUCCAAAUCACAAAAGAAACUUAGUACAUUUAAAUUAAAAUAUCAUUCUUAGGGUGAUGAUGCAUAUAUGUCUCCUCAGAGUCCACCUAUUAUGGGUAACACCUCCUUCCUACUCUUGGAAAACAUAAUUGACCAAAUUUAUAAAAAAUUAGGGUCGACAGCCCCUGAAGCACACACUAAAAUAUAAACUCAGAAAGUGUUUUGGAAGAUAGCAGUGUAUCCCAACCCUGUGGUGCCCACCAGUCAUGAGGAGCUGAAGCACAAUAGCAAGUGCCAUACCCACCCUCUGCAAGGACAAUGGCUAUGUAUAUAAGUGUAUAGGAAAAGCAGGCACACAAAGAAAUUGCUGGAAAAAUUCAGCAGAUCUGGCAGUAUCUGUAGAGUGAAAAUAAAGUUGAUUAUAUUGAGUCCAGUGACCCUUUUUCUUUGUUUAUUUCAGAUUUCUAGCAUCUGUAGUUUUUUCAUUAUAGGAUAAGCAGGUAGUUGAGUAAAACAAAUUCUUCCACACCCCACUGCUGGAUCUGUUAAUAGCCACCUUGGCGAACACUGGGAGCAAACCAAUGAAGAUGGCCUCUGAUCUGCUUGCCUCUCUCCACCAGCCAUCCAAAGAUCAUAAGCAUGGGGCUGAACUGCAACCAAAAUUAAGCAGAAGACUAAUUUUAAAAAAAAGUGCAUGAAGCCUAUUACAAUUAAUAUAUAUGUAGUCCAUGUAGUCUGUGAAAUUUUAAAAUUUUAGGCGGCCUGCAGAAUCCAUGAAACAACUUAACCUAUGAUUGCGGCAUGGAACACCCUGCACCUGAAUUACUCAAUGGAAAUGGAGGGUUUCCCAAAAAGACAGCCCUCUUCUAGUGACCUGCAUCAUCACCAGACAGGAGGAUUAAGCACCUUUUCUAAUAUUUCUAAAUAAUCAGGUAGUAAAUUGAACAUUUGUGUAGACAGUUACUUAAGUAGUCCUGUAAUGAAAGCUUACAUUUAUUAAGUUUUCUUUGAAAUUUUAAAUAAAUUUGAGUAAUUUUGGUGGAUGGGUAGAACCCAAGAUCCUCCCUUCUGUUCUGAGUCUAAGGGUUAACCUAUUUAACAGUGGUAAAGAAUUAUGGUAUGGUAACAAUAGGUACAAAUUAACUAACUAGUUAGUCUUUAUAAUCAUGACUACAGAAGCUAAAGAUCAUACACCUGUAUUCAUUGAAACCUCAUACCAAACUUCUGUUUCACUACCUAAGAGUAAGGUGAAAUCAUCAGGUUUGUUGGAGCAUCCUCAAUAUACUUCUCUUAAUACACUCAACAUCACCCCUUUCAGAAACAUGACCUCACAAUAGGAGACAGUAGCAUGGUGGUAAUGUAACUGGACAAGGAACCAAUGGCCCAUGCUAUUGCUCUUGGGGCACAGGUUCAAAAUCUCACCACGGCAGCUGCUGGAAUUUAAAUUCAAUUAGUAAAUCAUGUUAAUUGCAGGCCUAUGACUGUAUCAGUAGGAGUCACUACUGGAUGAUCCUUGUAGAGACAAAUGCCUGCCUUCACAGUGAGGAUACAUUCCAUUGUGCUGUGUACCACUACCACUUCAUCCAAACUCUGAUGAAACAACUAAACUCAAGAUAAGAGCACAGAUUUCCCACAAUUCCUCAAUGUCAGUUUUGGUCCUUCAUCCCAAUCUUGAUCAUAUCUUCUCUGAUUGGAAACAUGCAGUACUCAAUAUGAAAGAAAGUAGUUGUGCUUGUAGGAGGUCUUUCAUUUCAACCUCAGUACAAGGUUGCACGAAUUCCUCAGGAAAGCAUCCUACACCUAUUCAUCUUUAGCUGUUUUAUCAAUGAGAUUCCCUCCAUCACAAGGUCAGAAGAAGCAAUACUUGCUGAUAAUUAAACUCAGCACAAUUCACGUUUCCACAUUUACUGAGGAAGUCCAUGUCCAUAUGCACCAAGACCUGGAAAACAUUAGGCUUGGGUGGAUAAGUGAUAACAUUCACCCUGCAUCAGUGUCCAGCAAUAACCAUCUCCAAAACAAAGAAUCUAACAAUUUCCUCACAAUAUCCAAUUACAUUAUCAUGAGUGGAUUCAACA